UGAAGAACUGCGCUACGUAACAGAUUCUACCAUUAUGCUUCAACCAAACAUACCAUACUACUGCAAUCUGCCAAAAAAAAUGAUAGGUCAAAAACACAUAGCUUUCUUAAUUUGAUUGAUAUUUCUGAAUUGAUAUUUUGGUGCAUAAUUUUUUAUUGCAUAGGUUCCAUAGGUUCCUUUGAGUCUAAAUGUACAUUGAAA
rnacentral:misc_RNA from 1 species